UCACAAAAAUUCCAAAACGCAAACAACGAUAACAAAGGGCUAGUUUCCUAACCACCCCAUGGAGUGGAUAUUCUUGCCAUUCUUUACCUUACAGGAGGAGAAACUGAGGUCUGACAAGAGGAAUGAGUCUCUUGCUAAGGGUCCCACAACGAUGACCACUGACACGACACAGAGAGAGACGCAAUAGCCCACAACAGGCUUCCACUUAGCCUCCUUGAUUCCUGACCACUCUCCUGCCUCAUGGCCACGCUGGCCAGGCUCCCUGAAUGAAUGGCAAUGACACUCUUGUCAGAUGUCCUCACCCCCUGCACACCAGAAGCUGAGGGAUAUCCCAGCCCCAUCGUUCAGCUCCGCUGUGCUUGGUAAAGAUGACCAAAGAAUUGAGAGCACUGGGCCCAGAAGAAGCCAGAAGUCCAGGCUUUGAGGAAACCGCCUGACUUGUUAGCUCUGUCACCAUGACACGGGUUAGAAUGAACCUGAAAAAGGAGUCUCAA